rnacentral:tRNA from 1 species
GGACCUGUAGCCUAGCCUGGAUAGGGCGACAGCCUUCUAAGCUGUAAGUCGAGGGUUCGAAUAGUUAGAGCUUUGCUGUAACAAUUGGGAAGCUUAGCUUUGAAAUUCCCUCCAGGUCCG